rnacentral:tRNA from 1 species
GAUAGGUGGCCCAGUAGUAGGGUGCUUGCUCAGCAUGCAUGAGACACUGGGUUCAAUCCCCAGUACUAUCA